rnacentral:rRNA from 1 species
AUCAAAGGUGAGCCAGUACAGGAUGGACCCGCGUCUGAUUAGCUAGUUGGUAAGGUAACGGCUUACCAAGGCGAUGAUCAGUAGCCGACCUGAGAGGGUGAUCGGCCACAUUGGAACUGAGACACGGUCCAAACUCCUACGGGAGGCAGCAGUGGGGAAUAUUGCACAAUGGGCGAAAGCCUGAUGCAGCAACGCCGCGUGAGUGAUGAAGGCCUUCGGGUCGGAAAACUCUGUCCUCAAGGAAGAUAAUGACGGUACUUGAGGAGGAAGCCCCGGCUAACUACGUGCCAGCAGCCGCGGUAAUACGUAGGGGGCUAGCGUUAUCCGGAUUUACUGGGCGUAAAGGGUGCGUAGGCGGUCUUUCAAGUCAGGAGUGAAAGGCUACGGCUCAACCGUAGUAAGCUCUUGAAACUGGGAGACUUGAGUGCAG